rnacentral:lncRNA from 1 species
CUGGCUCCGCCCCACAAGUGUCCGUGCCCCACAAGUGUCCCUGUCCCACAAGUAACUGCCUCCACCCCACAAGUGUCCCUGCCCCACAAGUGUCUCUGCCCCACAAGUAACUGCCUCCGCCCCACAAGUGUCCCUGCCCCACAAGUGUCCCUGCCCCACAAGUGUCUCUGCCCCACAAGUAACUGGCUCCGCCCCACAAGUGUCUCUGCCCCACAAGUGUCCCUGCCCCACAAGUGUCUCCGCCCCACAAGUGUCCCUGCCCCACAAGUGACUCUGCCCCACAAGUGUCCGUGCCCCACAAGUGACUCUGCCCCACAAGUGUCCGUGCCCCACAAGUGUCCGUGCCCCAUAACUGACUCUGCCCCACAAGUGUCCGUGCCCCACAAGUGUCUCUGCCCCACAAGUGUCCCUGCCCCACAAGUGUCCGUGCCCCACAAGUGUCCCUGCCCCACAAGUGUCCCUGCCCCACAAGUGUCCGUGCCCCACAAGUGUCCCUGCCCCACAAGUGUCCCUGCCCCAUAAGUAACUGUCUCUGCCCCACAAGUGUCCCUGCCCCACAAGUGUCUCUGCCCCAUAAGUAACUGUCUCUGCCCCACAAGUGUCCGUGCCCCACAAGUGUCUCUGCCCCAUAAGUAACUGACUCCGCCCCACAAGUGUCCCUGCCCCACAAGUGUCCCUGCCCCACAAGUGUCUCUGCCCCACAAGUGAAUCACUCUGCCCCACAAGUAACUGCCUCCGCCCCACAAGUCCCUCUGCCCCCCAGACGCUGUGCCAGGUGUCCCUUUACGCCAUGGGCCGCAGCCCGGCGGUGUUCGAGGAGCCGCAGCGUUUCGAUCCGUCUCGUUGGAUUCGUCGCUCCCGGCACGAAACUGCGUUCACGGCGCUGGGCUUCGGCUUCGGAGCGCGGCAGUGCAUCGGGAGGAGGCUGGCCGAGACUGAGAUGGCGCUGUGCAUACAUCACGUGAGAGACCAUAGGGAACCUAUAGACCCUAUAGGGACCCCAUAGGGACACAUAGAGACCCUAUAGGGACACAUAGAGACCCUAUAGGGACACAUAGAGACCCUAUAGACCCUAUAGGGACACAUAGAGACCCUAUAGACCCUAUAGGGACCCUAUAGAGACCAUAUAGGGACACAUAGAGACACAUAGAGACCCUAUAUGAACCCCAUAGAGACCGAGAUGGCGCUGUGCAUCCAUCACGUGAGAUACCCCAUAGACCCUAUAGAGACCCUAUAGAGACCCUAUAGGGACCCCAUAGGGACACAUAGAGACCAUAUAGGGACCCCAUAGAGACCGAGAUGGCGCUGUGCAUCCAUCACGUGAGACCAUAUAGGGAACCUAUAGAGACCCUAUAGAGACCCUAUAGGGACCCCAUAGAGACCCUAUAGAGACCCUAUAGGGACACAUAGGGACACAUUGAGACCCUAUAGGGACCCCAUAGAGACCGAGAUGGCGCUGUGCAUCCACCACGUGAGAGAACCCAUAGACCCUAUAGGGAACCUAUAGAGACCCUAUAGAGAC